AUGGGCUGGCAGUUAAACAGGAGAUUAGACACAUAGAGGUUUCUUGAUGUCGUCUGUCACAGCUGUCUAUCAACAGAGCUCAUGGGGCAUUUCCCUGGCCCCACAGCCUUUUCAGACCUACCCUGCUGCCACCAUCCUUGUGUAGUUCCAUGAGAGAUAGAGUUCCAUGAGUUCUGACUCGCCUUUUCGCCUUUGGCCAACAAUUUAAAGACGAUUGCUGCUUGAUGGUGCACGCAAAUAAAUUAAUAGUCUUGGUUCUGGCUGAAGUGUCUAGAGUCUGAGACCUUCACUGGCCCCACACAGAAAGCCAAGGAUUGACAGAAGCACUAGCAAAAGAAAGUCCCAACAGGUCAAGGGAAGGGGCAUUACAGACUAAUAAAACCUGUUACUACGCGGAGAACUUUGCUCAACUUUUGAUGUCAGAAAAGACAGCCUAGACUGGCAGGUAAAUCUCCCUGAAAAUAGAAGAAAUCAAGGUUAGAGCAACAUAUUUAUCCCAGGUUACUUAGUAAAUAUGGAAAUACUGUAAAAAGUGAAUUUGAGAUUUUACAGAAGGAAGGUGUCGUUGAAUGGCAAUAACAGUAGAUAGAUGCUUUACUCUGCCCUCCAUUUUUCAGUGUCCUGCCCUCAGGUUGUUCUUCAGCAUUUGGCCAAGGUCAGACAGCUGAGACUGAAUUUUUUCUGAAGUUUCUAAUGUUCGCAAUAAAUUAUUAAAAUUACAGUAAAGGACAAUAGCUUUUUUUAACUGGCAAAUACGUUUUUAGUGUCACCAGAAAAUGGUGCCUGUGAACCUGGAUGUUACUCUGAUUUUUUAUGAUUGCUUUCGGCUUCUAAGUUUGGUGCAAAAGGUAGCCAUGUCCCAGAAAAAAAAAUGCGUGCCCUUUUAAAUGGAAUUCCAUAGGCUGAAAUUUAUCCAUGGUAAAUGUUUCACAUACAGUAAAUUAUGCAGGAGGUUCCACAAACAUUCCUGUACUCUCAGUAAUGAAGGUGAGCACUGAAGUAGCACAAGUACAUGGUUUAGCCAUCCAACUGUUUGUGUUUCUCCCAGGAAUUCAACACUUUUCACAAAUAACUACACUUUGCAGUUCCAUAACACAAAUCCUGUGACCCCACAGGACAACUGCAAAGGUAGGGUAAACACCUCUCGUUCUAUUUUAUAGGUACUUAGCACUUAUGAAAUGCAAGCUCAAGGCAGGCUGUGAGGAACAUCUGCACUUAGAGAAGUCCUUCUGGAAAGCAAAUGGAAAUUAUUUGCUCAAAUAUUAUGCUCCUCCAGCAAUCAGUGGAACUAUUAAUUAACCUGAGGGUGUCCCUUGCCCACUGUGAGCAUGGCAGGAUCCAUGUGAGGGGGCAGAGAAAGAUACAGGCUCACAUUCCAGCAAAGAUGUCCACAGAGGGAUGCACUUCCCUCUGAGGAGCUAUCAGGUCCCACUGACACCGCUGCCUUCUAACACGGACGUUCUCCAGCCUGCAUCAGUCAUCAUAGGACACAGCUCUUUUCAUACCAUCUUCCCAACACAGCGCUGAGGCUCCUGUGGAAUUGCCCUCUGUCUGUCAGCGUUCCUACCUGUGCCUGUGGUCAGUGCUGAUACUCAGGUUUCACAUCAACCAGGAAUGGUACAAGCUUGGCCAGGGACUCCAGGCAGUGGCUGCUGGGUUCUGCAAGGCCUAGGGGCAGGAGCACUGUGGCUUCCCAGGAAUAUCACAAGCAAAUAGUUGUCAGCAAGCCCCAGGUGCACACAGGUAAGCCCAUCAGAUUGCUUUAAACUCUCAUCCCUUGUAUGAGCGUGAAAAUAAUCACCAUGUCAGAUAAACUUCUGCUUUUUAUUAAAAAAAACAAAAAACAAACAAAACAAACAAAACUUAUAAGGUAAUUGAUUGCUUUCUUCUAGUCUUUUAUUAGUUAUGAUUAAGGAGCUAUAGUAGCCCUGUUUACACAGCUCUAACAAGUCAGGACCUGCAGAACGUUAUUGGCUUGGGGCCCACAACUUGCCGUCCAUUCUCAACAGAAUCAAUCUGGAGCUGAAAACAUCCCCGUAGGAAGCGUACACAUCCCUGCUUAUACAGGAACAGAAACAGCAAUAACUUCAGGUCCUGUAAGCUGCAAGUUCAACUCACAGAGAUCAGCCCUGACUUGUCAUCGCUCUCAGCAUGUUGGUGAUGAGAUCAGAGCACUUCACCAAGGACUCAUACUUCCAGCUUGACAAGGGACAGAGGUGAGCGUGUUACACCUCACUGUUACUCCCCUGCAACUGCAGAAACGAACCCAGAGCUCCUCUGUUUAACAUGCAGCCACAGCACUGCCAAUCUAAAAUGGCUGAUCAGUAAUACUUUAAUUGCAGUUUCAUAGAAACAAAUUGCUAUUUAAUUGCAAUAAGCUUGUCUGUGGCUUAGCUGGACUGACAAUAGGCAUACACCUGGUAGUAAGAGUAACAAGCAUCAAGGGUUAUCUGGUACUGCAUGUACAGGAGUCUUAGACAGUGCCAUCAAACCCAGAACACAAUUUCAAACUAAUUAAAUGUAUAACUUUAAAAAAUGUAUAUACAUAAAUUUCCUAAUCUCAAUUUAAUUUUGUAAUAGAACCGUUCAGAAUAAAUACUUGGAAAAAGCUACACACUUCACAUAAAACUACCAGCAAAACACUUUGAUAAAAGAUUUGAAUUGAAAUGAUCUUUUGAAAUCACAGAACCAGGUUGGAAAAGACCUCUGAGAUCCUCGAUUCUAAUGACUCUGACUGAACACCACUGUGUUAACCAGACUGUGGUACUCAGUGCCACGUCCAGUCUUUCCUUAAACACCUCCAGGACUGGUGACUCCACCACCUUGAUAGCAAGGCAUACUCUGCCAGUAUGUGAGUUUUGGGCUUUUUUUUUUAGUAUUUACCCUAAUGUUAGGUGAUGCAAAUUUUAUCAGUUUUAACUAACAGGGAAAAAAAAAGGGAGACAAACUCAGUGUGGUUAAUAUUCUGAAGAUGUGACUUAAUUUCAUAGGCUUCAUUUUGUUAAGACAUUCUCAUUUUAUAUUUCAUAAGAUACUGCAUAACCUGUUAAAAUAUUUAAAGAUAAAUCAUGUAGGACUGAAAAGACAGUAUCUUGUUGCAAACAGAAUUUGGUUUGGAAAGGCUUAAUGUCCCACUGCCUGCCAGGAUGCGUAAAUCUCAUAACUAGACAGCUGGAUAGGUAAAAACAUUAAACCCAUUUAGAGGGCAAUCUUUUUACAAAAUUGUUUCAUUAAUAAGAGUGACAAUUUAUAUGAUUGAGAUGUUUAGAUGCAGUAUAGACAGAGCAUUUUAUCCAGGUUCAUGAGGAUGAUUUCAGAUUAGUAAUAUUUCCUUUGAUUCUUUUUUUAACAGCAUUCAUUUUUGAAAGUAAGGAAAGCUCUUACUGAAUGAUUAUUUUACUUUUCAGCAGCACUAAAUGCAGAGGGUGUAUUUCACCCUCAGUGCAGCAAAUACAUGUGAUAAAAGGUGAAGAAGUAUGUGUUUUUCUUUACCGAUCUCUUUAAAAAGAAGUGAUUUUUCACAUAAGGACAAAUCUAAGUGUUUCCAGUAGCCUUCUGCCCACAGCUACCCGUCCCCAUUACAGCCUGUUUCAUUGUGUGAAAUGCCUCUGGUUUUAAGAAAGUGUUUUACCUAAAGCAAGAAUACUACUUAAAUAUGUUCUAUUGUAUAUUCAUAGCUCCAUUAGUCCUCCUGCAAUUUAGCACAUCAAAGCAAAGGCUUCAUCACUUGCAUGUGGAUUAUGCUAACAUGAGUGACAUUUGUAAUCUUAUAGGUCUGCAACUUAAGAAAUGCUUUUAAAGUAAGCUAUUAAAUAGGUAGCUGUGCUUUACAAAUGAGUCAUAUAAUAGUUUAUUUAAAGCUGUUAAUGAACUUCAACCCCUACAUCACUAAAUGCAAUACUACAUUACUUACUAGAAGUUAUUAGCUAUCUUCUUAGCACUUCUAGGUUAUAUUGGACAACCAAAAAUCUGUACAUGUUAGAUUUAAACACUGUACCUUGAGUGCUUAUACUGAAAGAAUAUAAAAAGAUGUCUACAGUCUCGCUAAUACUUGAAUUCUAUAUUCAUAUGACUUCAAGUGUCUUUUCAAAGAUAUUGAAGCAGCACAAUUUGCAGGACUCUGAAGACUUUAAUGCCAGAUCAAAAAGCUUAGAAAGUUAUUUAAAAUACCCACAAGUGCAUUUAAUUAAAAGUCAUACAUAGUGUCAGUCAUGUACAUUGUGCUUUAUAUGUUAUGAAAGUAGUAUUCUGUUUUUACUGUCUGAUACUGUAUGUUGCUAGAUUUUUUCUCUGAAACAGUGCUUCCUCCUCAAGCACUCAAGUGUUUAAAGAAGAAAUUCAGCAGCCCUCCAAUAUACUAGAGGUCAUGAAGUAGUAUCUGAAACAAAAAUAUCUGCUGUUGGUUGUUUAGACAUAUAAAUCUAUAAAUCAGCUUUUUGUGUAUUGGCAACACAACAAAAAUAAGUCAAGCUCACUCCAUAACCGAGCAGCUGAGCAGUGAACACUUUCUGAAAAACAGAAUUAAAAUAAUGAUGUGUUAUGAAUGUAUUCGUUUCCUAUAAAAGUAGACUAUUUCUUAAUAUUGAUUUGCUUUCAAUUGCAGCAAAGGCAGAUUCGUUGCUUGCAGGUUCCUGAGUGAAGGCACACAGUGGACAGCCACAGAUCCAUGUUAGUAUUCUUGCUAAAAACAUGAAAAGUCAGAUUUUUUUUUUUCUCAAAAGUAUUCUGCACAGAUCAACCACCAAACAGCUGAUGGGAAAAAUGUGCAAAAUGAAGUUGUUUCCUUUCUAAGCUUAGAGGUGGCUCUGCUGCUUUAUGGGGAGAUGGUUUUUGUUUAUUUGCUUUCAGAGAACAGAUCAUAUUUUGAGAUCAGCUAGUUCUCAGAAACAGCCCAGGAAACAGGUUUUUCUUUCCUUAAGAUUAUCAGUGUUGAAAAGUUAGUCUCUCACCCCAGCAAACACAACUUGAUGUUGUUCAGAUCAGAAUAGCUAUUGUAUUCCUUUUCAUGAAUACUCAAUUCUAGUGCUCAGCAUGAGGUACAGACCUUUAGUUGGCUUUUAUUUUUUUGACCUCUUAUGGUAUAUUCAUACCCUCUUAUGCUUGCAUGCUCAGAGACACAGGCACAUCCUUAACACAGAAGGAACUGGAAAGAAAGAGACCACAGUACCUCUGUGUGUGCUGUAAUUCAUUGCAAUGGGAAUCAUAAUGUACUUGAUGUUACCAGAAUUAGGAAUCUCCAUGAUUUUUUUUUUUUUUUGAAGUAGUACUCGUUAUCCUUGCCACAAGUAACACAAGUAGUUUAGCAGAUUCCUUCCUGGCAUAAGACAAAAGAAAAAAUCCAAACCAAAAACCUACUUUUAAAGGUAAUUGACAAUAAAGGUAACGACUAUGUAAGAUGAAGUUACAGAAUAUUUUGAAUGUAAUUUUUAAAAAAAAGCAAAGCUUCUAAAACCCAUACUCAGUUUUGUUUUACUUUUUAUUAUUUAAAUACACCAUACUAGAGCAAAUGUCUCUGAAAAUAUCACAAAUAAAAGAUUUUUCUUCAUUCAGCAAAUUAGAAGUAGGUGAAAAUUUCUACACAGUAGC